GAUAGAGUGUGGCAACGAAGGUCAUGCCAUCUAUAGAGGAUCCCCUUUAACUGGCUGCAGUGUUUAGAGACUUCAUACCAAGCCUUUGCUCCAUGAAGUGUGUCCCCAGGAUUGACCCGGAGCUUAUUCCACAGGAGAGAACCCCCGCUGGGGUGAUGAAUGUGUACGUUCAGACGAGGGAUCCAGAAGCGGAGGAAUGACGCUUUCCUGAAGGACGUGUCAGGGUUAAUUAUGAAGGAAGUAACUAAAGUACAGAAGACCAGCACUGCCUCCUAUUAUUGUGGCAUCCAACCGAUGGCAGAUCGGACGGCCACCCGCUUCAGUUGUACUAUUUCUCAAAGCUUUAACUGUCACCUCGGAAAGUGGCCUGCAUCCUCCAAGCUUGUCCUCCCCAGCCUGCACCUCUUCUCUGCGUCCAAUUCCAUUCAUUAAUUCCUUUAAAAUGGAUUUAUUUAGCAUCUACUGGUGUGUGUUUGGUGCUGGAGAUACAGGAAGGCAUGAUCUCCUCCCUUCAGGAGCUCACAGACUGUGGGGGGGGUGGAAAAGUAAGACCGGAGUUGGGGAAGGGACUUUCCACAGGAGACGACCUUCCUAUGGUCAUUUGCACCUGCCGAAGGCCCGACGUUUUGAAUAAAUAAUUAAUA